AGGUACAAAAUUCAACCACGUCAAACGACUCCAUAAGAAGCAAAAACUUAGUGGCACAUGGACCUUUACCUUCGGUUGGGGCGACCAUGGAGGAAAAACGAGCCUCCCAGUGGACCGGGCCAUAACCCCUAAAGCCAAGAGAGACAUCUUUAGGCCGCAGAAUAUCUGACCAACAAUGAUCCGGCCAAUAAAGCCGAUCAACGAACCAAGUUACCCUAGGGAUAACAGCGCAAUCCUCUCCCAGAGUCCAUAUCUACGAGGGGGUUUACGACCUCGAUGUUGGAUCAGGACAUCCUAAUGGUGCAGCCGCUAUUAAG
rnacentral:rRNA from 1 species